UACAUAGGGUGCGAGCGUUAAUCGGAAUUACUGGGCGUAAAGCGCACGUAGGUGGCUUCGUAAGUCGGGUGUGAAAGCCCCGGGCUCAACCUGGGAAUUGCAUUCGAGACUGCAUUGCUGGAGUACGGAAGAGGAGGGCGGAAUUCCCGGUGUAGCGGUGAAAUGCGUAGAUAUCGGGAGGAACAUCAGUGGCGAAGGCGGCCCUCUGGUCCAGUACUGACACUCAAGUGCGAAAGCGUGGGGAGCAAACAGG
rnacentral:rRNA from 1 species